rnacentral:misc_RNA from 1 species
GAUGAAGAACGUAGCGAAAUGCGAUAAGUAAUGUGAAUUGCAGAAUUCAGUGAAUCAUCGAAUCUUUGAACGCACAUUGCGCCCCUUGGUAUUCCGAGGGGCAUGCCUGUUCGAGCGUCAUUAUAACCCCUCAAGCUCAGCUUGGUGUUGGGGCCUGCCGCACGGGCAGCCCUUAAAAUCAGUGGCGGUGCUAUCUGGCUCUAAGCGUAGUAAUUCUUCUCGCUAUAGAGUCCCGGUGGAUGCUUGCCAUUAACCCCCAAUUUUCUAUGGUUGACCUCGGAUCAGGUAGGGAUACCCGCUGAACUUAAGCAUACAAUAAGCGGAGGA